rnacentral:lncRNA from 1 species
GGUGUGUUUGAAGGAAAUAGAUUGGGGAGAAGAUGAAAUAAGGUGAGACGGUGAGGGUUUGGCCGCCAGCGACAGCGAUGAAAUCACCGGAGCGCAGCCGGAGCGAACUGCCGGAAACAGUAGAGUUUGCAUAGCUCCAAUCUUGAAGGUAAUUCUUGUGCAGAGGCAGAGGGAGCAGCAGCUUGAAGGUAAUUCUUGUGCAGAGGCAGAGGGAGCAGCAGCUUGAAGGUAAUUAAUUUGGUUAUUUCUGCCUUUC